ACCGAGCCCGGCUGUUUAUUUUUUGAGUUGGAAUCUCAUUCUGUCGCU
rnacentral:snoRNA from 1 species